GACGAACGCUGGCGGCGUGCCUAAUACAUGCAAGUCGAGCGAAGUUUUUCUGGUGCUUGCCCUAGAAACACUUAGCGGCGAACGGGUGAGUAACACGUAAAGAACCUGCCUCAUAGACUGGGACAACUAUUGGAAACGAUAGCUAAUACCGGAUAACAGCAUUAACUGCAUGGUUGAUGUUUAAAAGUUGGUUUUGCUAACACUAUGAGAUGGCUUUGCGGUGCAUUAGCUAGUUGGUGGGGUAAAGGCCUACCAAGGCGACGAUGCAUAGCCGACCUGAGAGGGUGAUCGGCCACACUGGGACUGAGACACGGCCCAGACUCCUACGGGAGGCAGCAGUAGGGAAUCUUCCGCAAUGGGCGAAAGCCUGACGGAGCAACGCCGCGUGAGUGAAGAAGGAUUUCGGUUCGUAAAGCUCUGUUGUUAGGGAAGAAUGAUUGUGUAGUAACUAUACACAGUAGAGACGGUACCUAACCAGAAAGCCACGGCUAACUACGUG
rnacentral:rRNA from 1 species